UACGAAGGGGGCGAGCGUUGUUCGGAUUUACUGGGCGUAAAGGGCGCGUAGGCGGCGCGAGAAGUCGAGUGUGAAAGCCCCGGGCUCAACCUGGGAAGUGCGCUCGAUACUCUAGUGCUUGAGUUCGGGAGAGGAGCGUGGAAUUCCCAGUGUAGAGGUGAAAUUCGUAGAUAUUGGGAAGAACACCGGUGGCGAAGGCGGCGCUCUGGACCGAGACUGACGCUGAGGCGCGAAAGCUAGGGGAGCAAACGGGG
rnacentral:rRNA from 1 species